rnacentral:rRNA from 1 species
UACGGAGGGUGCAAGCGUUAUCCGGAUUCACUGGGUUUAAAGGGUGCGUAGGCGGGUCUGUAAGUCAGUGGUGAAAUCCCCGAGCUUAACUUGGGAACUGCCGUUGAUACUAUAGAUCUUGAAUAUCGUGGAGGUAAGCGGAAUAUGUCAUGUAGCGGUGAAAUGCUUAGAUAUGACAUAGAACACCAAUUGCGAAGGCAGCUGGCUACACGAAUAUUGACACUGAUGCACGAAAGCGUGGGGAUCAAACAGG